CCCUAAAUCCUUCGGAUUUCCUCUUCCUCUUCUCGUGGUGUGUACUCCCAUGGCUUCAAAGGGGACCCAAACAAGUAUGAAUGAUGAGGCUGUGGAGCUAGGCACUGCUGAGGAGGGAGGGGCUAAUGCUUAGAGUUCCCUAUCAGUUCGGUUUUGAUGAUAAGGGUUAUGUUUUUAUGUUUUUAUGAUGGGUCUCAUGUUGGGACGUUUUGUUGGCUUGACUUUAAGACAAUAUGCCUUUGAGCAUGAUGUAAAUACUAUGGUGGGGUGAUGGUAACCCCAUAUAUGAUGGUUAACACGUUUUUGGUAUGUGUUGUAGGGACUGAGUCCCCUUUUAAUUAAAACUAGUUAUGUUUGAUGAAUGAAUUAUGGACUCUGAGAGUCCUUUAAUUAAA